rnacentral:rRNA from 1 species
AGAACGAACGCUGGCGGCAGGCCUAACACAUGCAAGUCGAACGCUCCGCAAGGGGAGUGGCAGACGGGUGAGUAACACGUGGGAACAUACCCUUCGGUUCGGAAUAACUCAGGGAAACUUGAGCUAAUACCGGAUACGUCCUGGCGGAGAAAGAUUUAUCGCCGAAGGAUUGGCCCGCGUCCGAUUAGCUAGUUGGUGAGGUAACGGCUCACCAAGGCGACGAUCGGUAGCUGGUCUGAGAGGAUGAUCAGCCACACUGGGACUGAGACACGGCCCAGACUCCUACGGGAGGCAGCAGUGGGGAAUAUUGGACAAUGGGCGCAAGCCUGAUCCAGCCAUGCCGCGUGAGUGAUGAAGGCCCUAGGGUUGUAAAGCUCUUUCGUCAGGGACGAUAAUGACGGUACCUGAAGAAGAAGCCCCGGCUAACUUCGCGCCAGCAGCCGC